AUGACCAUAACGAGUUCUGAAUGCAUAAAACGAGCGUCUCGGUCGGAAAUAAUAGAGGUUGGCACCCCGUGCCUGGAGACUACUUCCUUCAAAUAGAUUUCUGCCAAGGUAGAAAACUUGUCCGUUUCCUUAAUGGCCAAAAAGUGAGCAGACUUAGUUAAACGAUCUACUAUCACCCAGAUAGUAUCAUUCCCGCGUUGAGAUCUAGGUAGCCCUGUAACAAAAUCCAUGGAAAUCUGUUCCCAUUUCCAUUUCGGGAUUUCGGGUUGCUGUAGUAGGCCUGCUGGUUUCUGAUACUCGAUCUUGACUCUUGCGCAGGUCAAACAUUUGCCAACAUAGGCCGCUAUGUGGGCUUUCAUGCCAGGCCACCAGUAGGUGGUCUUCAAGUCGUGGUACAUCUUAUCUGCACCAGGAUGUACUGAAUAACGGGACUUAUGGGCUUCGUCCAUCACAAGCUCUCGUAGAUCUCCGUAAAGUGGGACCCAAAUGCGCCCUGCCACAUAGUAGGCACCGUCUUCUUUCUGUUCUAGUUGUUGUCUUGAUCCUCGCAGGGACUCAGCCCUGAUGUUUUCCGGUUUCAGGGCUUCAACCUGAGCAUUUCGAAUCUGGGUAGGGAGACUAGACUGGAUGGUAAGUUGCAAUGCUCGCACUCGCUUUGGUACAUUGUCCUUUCGACUGAGGGCGUCUGCCACAACAUUGGCCUUGCCCGGAUGAUACUUGAUGGCGCAUUCGUAAUCAUUCAGAAGUUCAACCCAUCGACGUUGACGCAUGUUUAAUUCCUUCUGCUUAAAGAUAUGCUCGAGACUCCUGUGAUCGGUGUAAAUGGUGCACUUGGUACCGUACAGGUAAUGUCUCCAUAUCUUAAGCGCAAAUAUCACUGCUCCCAGUUCCAAGUCGUGUGUUGUGUAGUUCCUUUCAUGUGUCUUAAGUUGUCGAGAGGCGUAAGCAAUAACUUUCUCGCGUUGCAUCAACACGCAACCGAGCCCAUGAAUAGACGCAUCGCAGUAAACCACAAAGUCGUCAGUGCCUUCAGGUAACGAGAGAAUAGGAGCACUGCAGAGGUUAUCCUUAAGCCUCUGAAAAGCAGAUUCCUGUGCUUCAUUCCACUUGUAGGUGACGCCUUUCUGAGUGAGUGUAGUGAGGGGUUGAGCGAUCUUUGAGAAUCCCUGAAUGAAUCUGCGGUAGUAACCUGCCAAUCCCAAGAAUUGGCGAACUUCAGUCGGAGUCUUAGGGGUAGGCCAAUUCUUUAUAGAGUCGAUCUUAGCUGGGUCGACGUGGAUUCCAUCCUUGUUAACCACGUGCCCAAGGAAAUGGACUUCUCGAAGCCAGAAGUCGCAUUUCGAGAACUUGGCGUACAGUUGCUCAUUGCGAAGGAGUUCGAGGAUAAGGCGUAGGUGCUGUUCAUGCUCUUCCUGACUUUUCGAGUAGAUCAAGAUGUCGUCUAUAAACACGAUCACAAAUUUGUCGAGGUAGGGUUUGCAUACCCGGUUCAUGAGAUCCAUGAACACUGCAGGGGCGUUGGUCAUUCCAAAGGGCAUAACGAGGAAUUCAUAAUGACCAUA
rnacentral:lncRNA from 1 species